rnacentral:rRNA from 1 species
GGAGUGAACGCUGGCGGCAGGCCUAACACAUGCAAGUCGAACGGCAGCACAGUAAGAGCUUGCUCUUAUGGGUGGCGAGUGGCGGACGGGUGAGGAAUACAUCGGAAUCUACCUUGUCGUGGGGGAUAACGUAGGGAAACUUACGCUAAUACCGCAUACGACCUACGGGUGAAAGCGGAGGACCGCAAGGCUUCGCGCGAUUGGAUGAGCCGAUGUCGGAUUAGCUAGUUGGCGGGGUAAUGGCCCACCAAGGCGACGAUCCGUAGCUGGUCUGAGAGGAUGAUCAGCCACACUGGAACUGAGACACGGUCCAGACUCCUACGGGAGGCAGCAGUGGGGAAUAUUGGACAAUGGGCGCAAGCCUGAUCCAGCCAUGCCGCGUGUGUGAAGAAGGCCUUCGGUGUAAGCACUUUGUACCGGAAAGAAAGCAUUCGGUUAAUACCGGUGUCAUGACGGUACCGAAGAAUAAGCACGACUAACUUCGUG